UACAUGGUGGCGCAGUUGGUAGCACUGUUGCCUUUUAGCAAGAAGGUCCUGGAUUCGAAUCCCAGCCAGCAGUCU